rnacentral:rRNA from 1 species
AUACAUGCAAGUCGAACGCGUUGGCCCAAUUGAUUGAUGGUGCUUGCACCUGAUUGAUUUUGGUCGCCAACGAGUGGCGGACGGGUGAGUAACACGUAGGUAACCUGCCCAGAAGCGGGGGACAACAUUUGGAAACAGAUGCUAAUACCGCAUAACAGCGUUGUUCGCAUGAACAACGCUUAAAAGAUGGCUUCUCGCUAUCACUUCUGGAUGGACCUGCGGUGCAUUAGCUUGUUGGUGGGGUAACGGCCUACCAAGGCGAUGAUGCAUAGCCGAGUUGAGAGACUGAUCGGCCACAAUGGGACUGAGACACGGCCCAUACUCCUACGGGAGGCAGCAGUAGGGAAUCUUCCACAAUGGGCGCAAGCCUGAUGGAGCAACACCGCGUGAGUGAAGAAGGGUUUCGGCUCGUAAAGCUCUGUUGUUAAAGAAGAACACGUAUGAGAGUAACUGUUCAUACGUUGACGGUAUUUAACCAGAAAGUCACGGCUAACUACGUGCCAGCAGCCGCGGUAAUACGUAGGUGGCAAGCGUUAUCCGGAUUUAUUGGGCGUAAAGAGAGUGCAGGCGGUUUUCUAAGUCUGAUGUGAAAGCCUUCGGCUUAACCGGAGAAGUGCAUCGGAAACUGGAUAACUUGAGUGCAGAAGAGGGUAGUGGAACUCCAUGUGUAGCGGUGGAAUGCGUAGAUAUAUGGAAGAACACCAGUGGCGAAGGCGGCUACCUGGUCUGCAACUGACGCUGAGACUCGAAAGCAUGGGUAGCGAACAGGAUUAGAUACCCUGGUAGUCCAUGCCGUAAACGAUGAGUGCUAGGUGUUGGAGGGUUUCCGCCCUUCAGUGCCGGAGCUAACGCAUUAAGCACUCCGCCUGGGGAGUACGACCGCAAGGUUGAAACUCAAAGGAAUUGACGGGGGCCCGCACAAGCGGUGGAGCAUGUGGUUUAAUUCGAAGCUACGCGAAGAACCUUACCAGGUCUUGACAUCUUGCGCCAACCCUAGAGAUAGGGCGUUUCCUUCGGGAACGCAAUGACAGGUGGUGCAUGGUCGUCGUCAGCUCGUGUCGUGAGAUGUUGGGUUAAGUCCCGCAACGAGCGCAACCCUUGUUACUAGUUGCCAGCAUUAAGUUGGGCACUCUAGUGAGACUGCCGGUGACAAACCGGAGGAAGGUGGGGACGACGUCAGAUCAUCAUGCCCCUUAUGACCUGGGCUACACACGUGCUACAAUGGACGGUACAACGAGUCGCGAACUCGCGAGGGCAAGCAAAUCUCUUAAAACCGUUCUCAGUUCGGACUGCAGGCUGCAACUCGCCUGCACGAAGUCGGAAUCGCUAGUAAUCGCGGAUCAGCAUGCCGCGGUGAAUACGUUCCCGGGCCUUGUACACACCGCCCGUCACACCAUGAGAGUUUGUAACACCCAAAGUCGGUGGGGUAACCUUUUAGGAGCCAGCC